GUUCUAUAAAGGAAACUUCCCUAGAAAGAAACCACUUCUAAAUGGAAUAAUUAAAAUAAUUUGUUAGAAACUUUAAGUUACCCUAUGAGCUCCUAGUAACACUGUUUUCAAGCUCAUAGGUUAAUUGUUAAGCCCUUUUGCUCCGAGUUGAACUGAUCAAAUGGCUCUGUGUAAAAGGUAACAGUGUAGAAUCCUCUUUGAGAAAUAGCAUGUAAACUUGGGAGAAAUGGCCUAAGCCCACGGUUCUCAAGUCACUGAGACAGUUGAAAAAGCCCCCUCAGGUGGUGAGAAUGGGAUAAUAUUUUAUUAUAUCUCUAAGAUGCCUCAAAUCCAAAGAGAUAAUUAAAUUUGGAAUUUUAUUAGUUUCACCUAAUAGUUGUAUAAAAGCUGAAUAUUUAAGGAUCUCCUUUAUCAGGCACUGAGAUGCUUUGUAUACAUUACUUCAUUUAGUUUUCACAAUAGUCCUAAGAGGUGGAGGUAUUUUUGACCCUGUUUUAUAGUUGAAGAACAGGCUCAGUAAGGUUAUAUUACCUGCUCCAAAUUUCACAGCUAGUUAAUUUAGUUUAUGUUGGAAGUUAGCAUUUAAGACCUUUUAAUUCAGGGUGUGCAUUUUCCUCUUGCGUGUCACAAGUGCUAUUCAGGCUUUCUCUAGUUGAAUCCCCUGUUUGUGAGUGCAUACCUGCAGUAUUUUAUAUGCUAAGUGAAAUAUUUUUAAAUUUACGUUAGCACCUAGAUUAGCGUUGAACCUGUUUUAAGAAUGGCAGAGUCUUGCUCUGUUGCCCAGGCUGGAGUGCAGCAUCAUGAUCUCGACUCACUGCAACCUCAAGCAGUCUUCCCACCUCAGCCUGCUGAGUAGCUGAGACUACAGCAAAAUUAUUCUUAAGACAUACUAGAUGUUGGUGUCCUUCCCCUCUGUAUUUGCCUAAACCUUCAUCAGUGUAUUGAGCCUCUUAAGAGCAGGUGAGCUUAUGAACAACCUUGUCUGGAAACGUCAGAAUUUAGCCACAUGAUGAGAUCAUUCCUGGUAGCCAGGAGUUGUAGAUAAUGCUCACUUCUGUAUCCUGAGCACCUAGGGUAGCAUCUGGCUUUUGAAACACCAUGUGUUGAAUGAAUGAAUGAAGACAAAGAAGAGCAAGAGCAGAGGAUGAGCAGAAAUAGAGAACUCGAAUGAAGAUUCACUUUGGAACACAUUAGUCAAUUAGAUAUAUGCAUGCCUGACAAAUGUACCCCUAGAGUCUAGAAUACUUUCAUUUCUUAUCUUCGUAACCUCUACUCAGGCUCUUGACAGCUG
rnacentral:lncRNA from 1 species